UACGGAGGGGGCUAGCGUUGUUCGGAAUUACUGGGCGUAAAGCGCGCGCAGGCGGCUCUUUAAGUCUCGUGGUCAAAUGCCGGGGCUCAACCCCGAGCGUGCCGGGGAUACUGGAGGGCUGGAGACAGGUAGAGGCAAGCGGAAUUCCGGGUGUAGCGGUGGAAUGCGUAGAGAUCCGGAAGAACACCGGAGGCGAAGGCGGCUUGCUGGACCUGGUCUGACGCUGAGGCGCGAAAGCGUGGGGAGCGAACAGG
rnacentral:rRNA from 1 species